GAGGUGUGGGAUAAGAGAAAAACUUCUAAUUUUUUUCUAAGCGGUUAAACUCCGUUAAUACCUUG
rnacentral:tRNA from 1 species